ACGGGAGGCAGCAGUAGGGAAUAUUGCACAAUGGGGGGAACCCUGAUGCAGCAACGCCACGUGUGGGAAGAAGCAUUUCGGUGUGUAAACCACUGUCGUGAGGGAAUAAUGCUUGGUCUCGGCCAAGUUGAAUGUACCUCGAAAGGAAGCACCGGCAAACUUCGUGCCAGCAGCCGCGGUAAUACGAGGGGUGCAAGCGUUGUUCGGAAUCACUGGGCGUAAAGGGAGCGUAGGCGGAGACGCAAGCAGUCUGUACAAUUCCUGGGUCCAACCUCGGAACUGCAGACUGGACUGUGUCUCUUGGAUAGUUCAGGGGCAGGCGGAAUUCCAGGUGUAGCGGUGGAAUGCGUAGAGAUCAGGAAGAACACCGAUGGCGAAGGCAGCCUGCUGGGGACUCAUCGACGCUGAGGCUCGAAAGUGCGGGUAGCAAACAGGAUUAGAUACCCUGGUA
rnacentral:rRNA from 1 species